ACGCUUUGUCCUUUAAUUGAUCUGACGAGCUUGCUCUGAAKUGAUUUUAUCUGACAAAGAGUGGCGAACGGGUGAGUAACACGUGGGUAACCUACCUCUUAGCAGGGGAUAACAUUUGGAAACAAGUGCUAAUACCGUAUAAUACCAACAACCGCAUGGUUGUUGGUUGAAAGAUGGUUCUGCUAUCACUAAGAGAUGGACCCGCGGUGCAUUAGCUAGUUGGUAAGGUAACGGCUUACCAAGGCGAUGAUGCAUAGCCGAGUUGAGAGACUGAUCGGCCACAAUGGGACUGAGACACGGCCCAUACUCCUACGGGAGGCAGCAGUAGGGAAUCUUCCACAAUGGGCGCAAGCCUGAUGGAGCAACGCCGCGUGUGUGAUGAAGGGUUUCGGCUCGUAAAACACUGUUAUAAGAGAAGAACGGCACUGAGAGUAACUGUUCAGUGUGUGACGGUAUCUUACCAGAAAGGAACGGCUAAAUACGUGCCAGCAGCCGCGGUAAUACGUAUGUUCCAAGCGUUAUCCGGAUUUAUUGGGCGUAAAGCGAGCGCAGACGGUUAUUUAAGUCUGAAGUGAAAGCCCUCAGCUCAACUGAGGAAUGGCUUUGGAAACUGGAUGACUUGAGUGCAGUAGAGGAAAGUGGAACUCCAUGUGUAGCGGUGAAAUGCGUAGAUAUAUGGAAGAACACCAGUGGCGAAGGCGGCUUUCUGGACUGUAACUGACGUUGAGGCUCGAAAGUGUGGGUAGCAAACAGGAUUAGAUACCCUGGUAGUCCACACCGUAAACGAUGAGUGCUAGAUGUUCGAGGGUUUCCGCCCUUGAGUGUCGCACCUAACGCAUUAAGCACUCCGCCUGGGGAGUACGACCGCAAGGUUGAAACUCAAAGGAAUUGACGGGGACCCGCACAAGCGGUGGAGCAUGUGGUUUAAUUCGAAGCAACGCGAAGAACCUUACCAGGUCUUGACAUCCCUUGCUAUUCCUAGAAAUAGGACGUUCCCUUCGGGGACAAGGUGACAGGUGGUGCAUGGUUGUCGUCACCUCGUGUCGUGAGAUGUUGGGUUAAGUCCCGCAACGAGCGCAACCCUUAUUAUUAGUUGCAGCCAUUCAGUU
rnacentral:rRNA from 1 species